rnacentral:rRNA from 1 species
GGGUAAACCUGCGAAACUCGAAUGAACGAACGGAGAGAUUCAUCGUCAUUCCGCGGCGUACGGACGCGCGCCUCGAUGCCGUCGGCCUCGGCCGGUAGGCACGGGUCGCGUCCGUCGACGUCCGCGGACGGCGUGCACUUCUCUCUUAGUAAAUACAUCGCGACCCGUUCGAUGUCGGUCUAAGCGCCGUACUGGAGCCCCGUUGCCCCCUCACGGGGGUAGUGGGACCGUGACGGUGGCCGACCGGCCGUCGGACGGUAGUUUUGACGAAUCGCGCACGCGUUUAUACGCGUCCGGCCCGACGCAAGUCAACGUCGUAUCCUGCGUCUACGCCAUAGUGCGGACGCAGGUGCGGCGCGUCUGUCGUCGCAGCCGUGCUGUCUCGGACUGUGCGCGUCUCUGUCUGCGAUGAUUCAGUUUCGGGCACUCGCAGGACCCGUCUUGAAA